GGAGGUAUAGCUCAGUGGUAGAGCACAUGCUUGGCAUUCACGAGGUCCUGGGUUCAAUUCCCAGUGCCUCUG
rnacentral:tRNA from 1 species